AGAGUCACUCGCUGAGCAAAUUAAAAUUUAGCUCUCGUGAGAACUCUGGAUUUCCAGGGUAGGGGCACCCCCUAACAAAAACUGAACUUUUUGUGGAGUUUCUCUGGGAAUACUGAAGGUAGGGGUGAGCUACCUCUCUGGCGUGUUUCCUUUGGUCCUUGGUUCAAAUGUAAUGUAUGAUAUUUUGGACAAAAGCGUCUGCUAAUAAAAAAUAAAUAUAAACACAAACAAAUCGCUGACUUUACCUUUAAUAUCACAAGCAUCUCAUAAGAGGGGUCCUCUCAAAUUGGUAAUGGAAGAAGCCCACAAGCAGGCUCUUCAUUAGCAAAACCUUUGUGCCUCAUUAUAUACAUAUUGUCCACUUAUUCUCCACUCAUAUUUUCUAGACACAGUCUUUCUGACUGCUCACACAGAUUUUAGUUAAUCAUUGGAAAGAGAUUAACCCAGACCCCUGGAUCAGGGCGAGGAGCGGCACAUCUUGGCCAUGCUAGCAGCCGUAAGACUGGCAAA